AUUAAAACUCAAAGGAAUUGACGGGGACCCGCACAAGCGGUGGAUGAUGUGGAUUAAUUCGAUGCAACGCGAAAAACCUUACCUACCCUUGACAUGUCAGGAAGUCCGCUGAGAGGUGGAUGUGCCCGAAAGGGAACCUGAACACAGGUGCUGCAUGGCUGUCGUCAGCUCGUGUCGUGAGAUGUUGGGUUAAGUCCCGCAACGAGCGCAACCCUUGUCAUUAAUUGCCAUCAUUCAGUUGGGCACUUUAAUGAGACUGCCGGUGACAAACCGGAGGAAGGUGGGGAUGACGUCAAGUCCUCAUGGCCCUUAUGGGUAGGGCUUCACACGUCAUACAAUGGUCGGUACAGAGGGUCGCCAACCCGCGAGGGGGAGCCAAUCCCACAAAGCCGAUCGUAGUCCGGAUCGCAGUCUGCAACUCGACUGCGUGAAGUCGGAAUCGCUAGUAAUCGUGGAUCAGCAUGUCACGGUGAAUACGUUCCC
rnacentral:rRNA from 1 species